GCCUAUUUAGUUUAAAUAAAAUAAUGAUUUUGUAAAUCAUAGAAACUAUAAGUAUAGGGCU
rnacentral:tRNA from 1 species